rnacentral:rRNA from 1 species
UACGGAGGGUGCAAGCGUUAUCCGGAUUCACUGGGUUUAAAGGGUGCGUAGGAGGGCAGGUAAGUCAGUGGUGAAAUCUCCAAGCUUAACUUGGAAACUACCGUUGAUACUAUCUGUCUUGAAUGUUGUGGAGGUGAGCGGAAUAUGUCAUGUAGCGGUGAAAUGCUUAGAUAUGACAUAGAACACCAAUUGCGAAGGCAGCUCACUACACAAUUAUUGACUCUGAGGCACGAAAGCGUGGGGAUCAAACAGG